rnacentral:rRNA from 1 species
GUCUGAGAGGCUUUUGUGCCUCCCUGGUCGUCGUCCAUUCUUCACCCUGUGAACAUUCUGUAGGUUGGCUCUUGAGCAAAAUCUUUGUUGACUUUGCUCUGUGGGUCUCCCCUAUGUUUUUCCACAAACUACUCAGUUAAAAGAAUGUCUACUGCAUGUAAUGCAUUAUAUAUAACUUUCAGCAACGGAUCUCUUGGCUCUCGCAUCGAUGAAGAACGCAGCGAAAUGCGAUAAGUAAUGUGAAUUGCAGAAUUCAGUGAAUCAUCGAAUCUUUGAACGCACCUUGCGCUCCUUGGUAUUCCGAGGAGCAUGCCUGUUUGAGUGUCAUGGAGUUCUCAACUCUAUUCACUUUUGUGGAGUAGAGCUUGGACUUUGGAGGUUUACUGCUGGAUGGCAUCAGUGCCUCAGCUCCUCUUGAAUGCAUUAGCUUGAAGCCCUUGUGGAUCAGCUUCGGUGUGAUAAUUGUCUACGCUGUUCUGUGAAGCAUGUACUGUGGGCUUUGGCUUCCAAUUGUCCUUAGGUGGACACUUUUGACCUUUUGACCUCAGAUCAGGUAGGGUUACCCGCUGAACU